rnacentral:rRNA from 1 species
AGGACGAACGCUGGCGGCGUGCUUAACACAUGCAAGUGGUGCGACGAACCAGGGCUUGCCCUGGGACAAAGCCGCGAACGGGUGAGUAACACGUGAGUAACCUGCCCCGAUGACCGGGACAACCCGAGGAAACUCGGGCUAAUACCGGAUGUGGCGCACAGGCAUAAGCCUGUUCGCUAAAGGAAGCUUCGGCCUCCGCAUUGGGAGGGGCUCGCGGCCCAUUAGCUUGUUGGUGGGGUCACGGCCUACCAAGGCGACGAUGGGUAGCUGGUCUGAGAGGACGAUCAGCCGCACUGGGACUGAGACACGGCCCAGACUCCUACGGGAGGCAGCAGUGGGGAAUCUUGCGCAAUGCGCGAAAGCGUGACGCAGCAACGCCGCGUGGGGGAAGACGGCCUUCGGGUUGUAAACCCCUUUCAGGAGGGACGAAGGUUCGCCGGUGAAUAGCCGUGCGGAUUGACGGUACCUCCAGAAGAAGCUCCGGCUAACUACGUGCCAGCAGCUGCGGUAAUACGUAGGGAGCAAGCGUUGUCCGGAAUCAUUGGGCGUAAAGCGCGCGUAGGCGGCCCCGUAAGUCCGCUGUGAAAGUCAAAGGCUCAACCUUUGAAAGCCGGUGGAUACUGUGGGGCUAGAGUCCGGAAGAGGCGAGUGGAAUUCCUGGUGUAGCGGUGGAAUGCGCAGAUAUCACGAGGAACACCAAUAGCGAAAGCAGCUCGCUGGGACGGUACUGACGCUAAGCGCGAAAGCGUGGGGAGCGAACAGGAUUAGAUACCCUGGUAGUCCACGCCGUAAACGAUGGGCACUAGGUGUGGGAAGGGGUCGACUCCUUCCGUGCCGUCGCUAACGCACUAAGUGCCCCGCCUGGGGAGUACGGCCGCAAGGCUAA